GCCAAGGCAAAGAACAGCCCACUGGGGAGGGAGCUGGGGAGCCUCAGGGCUUGCAGACCUCCCUGCCUAGAGACACCUCAGGGUCCGGGCAGGGGCAUAGC